GUUGAAACCAAGGCACAGGAGAUGUUUAUACAAAGAAUUGUUACUACAGAGAGAUUUGACAGCCAAAAAUGCUGAUUUGUUUGGAUUAUAGCCUGAAAACCACAAAUCCUUCAGAUUAUUGUACGAAACCCAGCGCAGAUCAGGAUAUCUUCCAAUUGUAAACGGGACAUCUGCCAUUGACUUCUACAUCACUUCUGCAGAGAAAAAGGAAAUACUUUUUACAAAUUUGGAUUAUUUGGAUAAAAUGGAGUCUAUGGGAGACAGCCUUUUCUUGCUUCUUCUUCAAAUCCUGUGCCGUACCGUUCCCUAAAGGGUCUAGUGCUGGUGCACCCGGACCACAUUUACUAUUUGCUAGGUAAGAAGAAAUAUUCCUUAUGGGAGCUGAAGCUUGCUCAUGGCUUUCUUAAUCCUAUUAAAUGUGUAAAUGUGUAAUUGUGUCAGUAGAGCAGUUAGUUACAUAUUCUAGGCAACUGAUGAUGAUGAACCUCGAGCUCUGAGCUGGUUACUGCAUUGGUGAGAAGAAGAUGCUGUUAUUUAAUGAGAGUAACCGCUGAGAUCCAUUAGCCUUGCAUCACAUUACAGAGGAUUAGCCAGUAAUAAGAUCCAUGGAAAGGACAACAUUAUCGGUUUUACAACUGUAACUUUAGGUGGUUCGAGGUGGGGGGCCCAGAAGCACUACCUUGCCUAGGGCCCUGUUUAGUCUUAAUCCGGCUCUGACUUUAAUGCAUUUGUGCGUAUAAAAUUGAUUUUGAUGCUCAUUGACUUCAAUGUGUUUCUUAUUUUCGGAACAGAAUCGCCCAUCACUAAUCAUAUCCUGUA